rnacentral:rRNA from 1 species
ACUCCUACGGAGCAGCAGUAGGGAAUCUUCCACAAUGGACGCAAGUCUGAUGGAGCAACGCCGCGUGAGUGAAGAAGGCUUUCGGGUCGUAAAACUCUGUUGUUGGAGAAGAAUGGUCGGCAGAGUAACUGUUGUCGGCGUGACGGUAUCCAACCAGAAAGCCACGGCUAACUACGUGCCAGCAGCCGCGGUAAUAC